UCUGAAUCUGCGNACGGCUCCGCAAACCAGUUGUAAACUAUAGCAAGCAUGCCUGGGUUCCCUUCACUGGGAGCUUGGGCGAUACGGAUAACCCUGGUAAUUCUGAGGCUAAUACGAGAACGCAAUCCUUGGCUGACCGGGCAACUGGGAGGCUGAGAGGCGUGCAAGUUGUGUCGCGAGAAAUCGCCGGGAUUGGAUGCACGCCUGGACCGCGCCAAAGACAGAUGAGUGUUCCUGACCCUCACGGGAAGGGGAUGCUUGCCUGAGCGGCUCUUGCAAUGUGCUUCUGACCUAUCAACUAGACGGCAGCGUAAAGGACAUGCUAUGGUUACAACGGGUACAG
rnacentral:rRNA from 1 species